CCUACGUGUGGCAGCAGUGGGGACUAUUGCACAAUGGGGGAACCCCUGAUGCAGCGACGCCGCGUGCGUGAAGCAGUAUUUCGGUACGUAAAGCUCUAUCAGCAGGGAAUACAAUGACGGUACCUGACUAAGAAGCCCCGGCUAACUACGUGCCAGCAGCCGCGGUACUACGUAGGGGGCAAGCGUUAUCCGGAGUUACUGUGUGUAAAGGGAGCGUAGACGGCAGCGCAAGUCUGGAGUGAAAUCCCAUGGCUUAACCAUGGAACUGCUUUGGAAACUGUGCAGCGGGAGUGCAGUAGAGGUGAGCGGAAUUCCUAGUGUAGCGGUGAAAUGCGUAGAUAUUAGGAGGAACACCAGUGGCGAAGGCGGCUUACUGGACUGUAACUGACGUUGAGGCUCGAAAGCGUGGGGAGCAAACAGGAUUAGAUACCCCAGUAGUC
rnacentral:rRNA from 1 species